GACGUAGGGCGCGAGCGUUGUCCGGAUUUAUUGGGCGUAAAGAGCUCGUAGGCGGCCUGUCGCGUCGUCCGUGAAAACCCACGGCUCAACUGUGGGCUUGCGGUCGAUACGGGCAGGCUGGAGUUCGGUAGGGGAGACUGGAAUUCCUGGUGUAGCGGUGGAAUGCGCAGAUAUCAGGAGGAACACCGGUGGCGAAGGCGGGUCUCUGGGCAGUAACUGACGCUGAGGAGCGAAAGCGUGGGGAGCGAACAGG
rnacentral:rRNA from 1 species